GUCUAUGGCCAUACCACCCUGAAAUACGCUAGAUGUCAUCUGAUCUCGGAAGCUAAGCAGGGUCGGGCCUAGUUAAUACUUGGAUGGGAGAAAAUAUGUUCAAACU
rnacentral:rRNA from 1 species